CUUAAAUUCAAAUCCAAGAAGGAAAAGCACUCAACUGCCAGAGUCCUCCCCACUGUCCAGACAGUGAUCCACCCCUGGUAGCCACUUGGUGAAAGGAGAAAACAGAUCCCUGAAAGCUGACCUCUGACCUCCACAUGUAAGCCUGUGAUAUUUGGAGACAGCAGCACACUCCUCUUGAGAGCUGGAUAACAAAAUCGAAGAGGAUAAUCAGAGUGAGAGCACUCAGUAAGAAUCCUCGCUUUGCAGAUGAGAAAACCGAGGACCAGGUCUGGCAGCUGACAAAUCAUGGAGCCAAUCCUGCCCGGCAAGCCGGAGCAGCUCUGCAUGUAGGCCAGGCAGCUUCUGGCCUUCCAGCCUGCUUCGCAGUUUGCCAUUCCCAUUGCCAGGCUGUUUGAUGGCUGAAAGUUUGCCCUGGAGCGCCCUCCCCUGGCUGUCAGCAAGACUUUAGAGCAGCUGUGACAGUGUAAACGGUGGUUCUCAAUCCUGAACCAGCCAUACACAAUCACCCAUAGGUUUGGUUAAAGCAGACUGUUGGGCCCCAUGCCAGGAGUUUUCCAUAUGGCAGGUCUGGGAUGGCAUCUCAAAUUAUAUUUUUUUCCUUUUGGUUCUUUAAGGCAGAUUCUUGCUAUGUAGCUCAGGCUGGCCUCCACCAUGUGGCAAUCUUUCCUCAACCUCCUGAGAGCUAGAAUUAGAGGCUCAGCUUUUUUGGGGGGUGCCUCAAUAAGGGGUUUCUUUGUGUACCCCUGCCUGUCCUGGUACUUUUACUGUAGACCAGGCUGGCCUCGAACUCACAGAGAUCCACCUGCCUCUGCCUCCCAAGUUCUAGGACUAAAGGCAUGUACCACUGCCCAACUUCAGACUCAUCUUUUAAAAAGUAUCUUGGUGUCUGGGGAUGUAUACAGCUCAGUCAAGUGUUCACCUAGCAUACAGGAAACCCUGGAUUCAAUGCAAAGUACCAUGUAAACCUGACAUGAUGUGAUCCCAGCACUUGGGAAGUGGAGGCAGGAGGAUGAGGCAUUCAAGGUCAUCCCCAGCUGCAUAGUGAGUUUAAAGCCAGCCUGGUUUAUAUAAGACCUUGUCUCAAAAAAAAAAAAAAAAAAAACUCUUAUUUUUAUUGCUACCAAGUUCCCAGGGUGCUAAUGCUCAUCAAUGACUGGGCAUCUCUGGUAUAUGAUAUCAAAAAAAGAGCACAUUGAUUUGGAGCUAGAAGACUCUGGUUCAAGUCCCAGCACAGGAGACUUUGAACAUGAUAGUAAUCUCAGUGUCAUUUUAUGUUGGUAAAGGUUUGUGUGCAUAUGCACGCACACAUCCGUAGAGUUAAUAUGUAAGGCAUAGUGAAAGCACCUGGAAAUGGCAAACUCCAUCCUCGUAGUGGGUGAAUACUCAGACUCACACAUAUGUCUCUUCACUGAAGAGAUGGCACCAUGACCCAGGGACUAUACACGCUGACACAAGCAGUCUCUUGAUGCCAUUCAGAAGAAAUGGUGCUUACCCCUUCCUUCCACCCUGUUACUUGAGGAAUCAUCAGGGCUUGGCACUUUCUGGGCACCGGGUUUGCAGAAGUGAGUGACAGUGUCUGCCCUAGAGGAGCAGCUAGGAAGGCGAUAAACAUGCAAAUCCUAAUAAUUACCCUGAGAGGUGAUGAGCCAGGAGAGGAACCCCAUGCCUCGGAGCCAGCCUUGUCUGGGUAGUCAAGCCAGGCUCAAAGAGACACCAGAGGCUUUAGGUAGAGUUUUGAGGGAUAAAUAACAGUUAUUUGAAAAGUGGGGAGCUGGAAACACUCAGCAGUUAGGUUAAAGCAAUGGCCUGUUUGAGUCCCAGCACCACACAUCUGUAACUCCAGUCCCGAGGGACCAGAAGCCCUCUUCUUGCUUCUGCUGGCGUGACACACACAUGGUGAAUAAACAUGCAGCCAAACAUUCACACAGAUAAGAUAAAAAAAAUGUAUAAAGUGGAAUGCCAAAGGCAUUCCAAACAGAGCAAAUGGUAUAUGCAAAACAGUCACAGAGGCAUGACAAUUUGAGCCCUCCAUGGCAAUAGGAGGUCAUUCUAAGUGGCCAGAACUCGUCGAGUGUGGGAAGAGAAUUGGCAAAGUCUAGGGCAAGAUUCACAGAAUCCUAGAUGCAAUGCGAAGGAGUUUCGGUCUGGUGGGAAGACACCCAACACUUAACUGAAGAAUUCCUUGGAAAACAAUCCCUAAUGACUCCCCCAAAACGAGCUCCCUCUGCCCAGUGCCUGAGAACUUCCGAGGAACAAGCUGGCCUACAAGGGACUUGGAGUGCAGCUCAGCUUCUCCUUUCUUCUGCACAGCACUUUCGCUGUAGGUUUCCUCAUUCCCACCCCCGAAGGGUGUGGAUCACUCAAGAACAAAAGGAUGUUAUCAAGCGCUGAGAGGUUCCGUGAGCGGGAAGGACCUGUGGGUGCAGUGGGGUGGGAGGGUGAGUUCCACCGCCGCUGAUGCAAUGCAGGGAGAGGCGGGUGGAAACCCACACCUGAAGCAUGUCCCAGCCUCGCUGAUGGUGCAGAGUUCUGAGGCUGGAAGAGGCCUGACAACUCGCCAUCCCUAAGCCUGCAGCUAGCUGCUGACGCUUGGCCCUCAGUCCCUACAUCAGAUCCCAGUGCUGGCGAAACUGAAUUCUGCUGACCUUGUGCCUCCAACUGAAACAUUCCCACAAGUCCUUGCGGCCUGGCCAUGGCCUCCUUUUCAGUCUUUGCUUUCCGGAUAGGUUUAUAAUGGGGUGUGCAGAAAGUGGCCUCUGCUAUUUCUGAAAUAGCUGAUGCAAACACCGGGGACAAACUGCAAUCUUAAGAUGCAAGACUUUGGGAUUUUUAGUCUGCUUGCUCUGUCUCCUGUGGAGGUGGCAGUGAUGUGCUCUUCUGGGAACAACCCUUUUAUUUUUAGGGGAAGAAAAUGUUUUAAUGGGUCUUUGGGUUAUACAAGGAUAAACCCAGAGUGUCCUCUUCUGGGAAAGAAACAACGCAAGCAAGACAAUGGGAAGUUUAGCUUUGGGGAUGUCACUGUUGCUUCAGGCAGGGACCUGCAGUAGGAAUAGACAGGAGAGGCCCUACCUGCUGGAGGGCCUCCCCGCCAGUGUAUGAAUUCCCAGGAGUGAUGACAAACAAGCAGUUGGAACCCAAAGAAGGGCCAUACUGGGCUGCUCCUGUUUGGUAUCUGAAGUUGCUGAGCCCAAAGGCAGGCAGCUUGUGAAUGCCACUAUCAUUCUACUCAUUGCUGAUGGCAUGGUGACCGAGAACAUCUAAGUCAGUUCAAGAACCAGGUCACAUUAACCCAGUCACUCCAGUUCCUCUGGAUUACACUUGGAGGAAGACCCUCCAUGCCAUGGGAGCCACCCUCCACACACACUUCUGUGAGGGGAUGUGGGCAACACCAGCCCAACUUCUUACAUCUAAUGCUCUACUUUGAACUGGCUCUUUUUUAAAAAGUAAAACUUUACUGUAAGUCAGGCUUUCACAAUGUAGCCCAGUUUGGCCUUGAACUCACAAAUUCCCCCAACCUCAGUUUCUAGAGUGCUGAGAGUAAGAAAGGUGUUUGUUAAGAGUGUGUGUGAGUGUGUGUGUGUGUGUGUGUGUGUGUGUGUGUGUGUGUGUGUGUGUGAUCUUUUUGGUUUUGUUUUGAUUGUUGUCUUGCUUUCUGAGACAGAAUCUUACAAAUCCCAGGCCAGCCUCAAACUCAAAUUUUACUUGGUACAAGCUCGAAGUACCACUUAUAUAGUACUGAGGCUGGAACCCAGGUUUUGUGCAUGAGAAGCAAGCAUGCUACCAGUUGAGCUGCAUCUCUAGUCAAAGGACAGGAGUUUCUUUUGGAAGAGUCAUAACAGGAAACCAGUUGUCAGAUUAGAGUGCGGAUCCCAACAGACUUGGAGCUGGGAUUCAGACAAGAAUCCGGCUGGAGUAUGAGAUGGACACUUGAGGGGGCAGCAUGUCUCUCCUGGUAUGAGUUAGUGUAAAAUUUAAACUAGUGUUGCAAGCUGAGAUAGCUUAGCAGGUAACAGGCUGACAGCCUGAGUUCAAUCCCUGGUGUUGUAAUUUAAGAAAAGCAGCACUCGAGAGAAAGAUGCCAUGAGACAGGGUUCAAGCAGAGGGGUUAUUUUUUGGUUUUCUUUUUUCUUUUUUUUUUUUCCCGAGACAGGGUUUCUCUGUGUAGCUUUGGAGCCUAUCCUGGCACUCUCUCUCUGGAGACCAGGCUGGCCUCGAACUCACAGAGAUCCACCUGCCUCCUGAGUGCUGGGAUUAAAGGCGUGGGCCACCAACACCCAGCCUAGAGGGGGUUUUUAUUAGGGAAAGGGAUCAUAAAAGGGGGAAAGGGGAGGAGGAAGACUGACCUCAGAGACAGGAGCAGCAGGGGAGAGGAGAGAGGAAAAGGGAAGAGAGAGGAAAGAGGGGGAGAAAGAGAGGGAGAAGGUGAGAGAGAAGAACAGAGAGGGAGAGAAAGAGAGAGGGAGAGAGAGAAAAGGAUGGGAGGUGAGCAAGGCCCUUUUAAAAGGGAACAUAGUGAAUAUGCACAGGUGGUGCUCUUAGUGGCAGCUGAGGGCUAUCCUGUCAAAACCCCAAGUCAGGCCAGUACAGAUGCCUGAAUACUAACACAUGGAACCCACAUGAUAGGAGAAAGCCAAAUUCCACAAGUUUUACUCUAACCUCCACAUUCGAACACACACACACACACUAAAACAAGUAAAUUAAUUAAUAAAAUGUAACUUUAAAAAUCAUACUAAUAAUGUUAUAAGCAAAGGAUAUGCUCUAUUAUCUUAUAUUAAAUAUCUUUAAAGUAAUAUAAUAUCAAAAUCUAUUUUGAUAUAAAUAACUAUACAAAAUAUAUAAAUAAUAUGUAAGUGUGGGAAACCCACAGAUUUCAUCCUAAGUGAGCCGAUGUGACUUUGGGGGGACACUGCCUUCAAGUUUUACUGCAUAAGCACAAUCAAGCAAGUAAACAGACAGAUGUUAACAUCUGCCCACAUUUAUUUUCAGUCCUGAUAGAAAAAACAGUUCUUCUCCAAUACUCCAGGCAACAGGGCCAGAGGCAACUCUCAUUGGUCUUGAUUGGAUCAUGUGUCUGUCCCUGAGCGGGACUCUCUCAGGAUUGUCAGGCCUGAGUUACACACCCAUCCCACUCUAACCACCUGACUCUAGGGUAUGGAGAAGUGCCCACACACAGAAAACCCGUGUGCUGAUACCAAAGACUCAGUGGCCUGUGCAGGGCAGUAACAAUGUACACAUUCCACUCCAGGGAUGUCACUAUGAGUUAUACAUAUUAAUCAGGCAGAUGAUAAAUCAUUAACCAAGUAUGGUGGUGACAUACUCCUGCAAGCCUAGCGCUUGGCAAGCAGAAACAGAAGCAGGAGCACUAACUCAGGCUUGAGGCCGGCCUGGUUACAGCGAAUACCAAACCAACCAGGGGCACAAAGUGGGACUCUGCCUCAACAAACAAAGUAUCAACUCACUCAAACAAAAAUCAACUUAGGCCGGGAGUUGGUGGCACACGCCUUUAAUCCCAGCACUCGGGAGGCAGAGGCAGGCGGAUCUCUGUGAGUUCGAGGUCAGGCUGGUCUCCAGAGUGAGUGCCAGGACAGGCUCCAAAGCUACACAGAGAAACCCUGUCUCAAAAAAAAACAAAAACAUCAACUUAUUCAUUGCCCUUUUAUGUGUUCAUCCAUGCAGUUCUAUGCACAAAGCGGCUUCCUCUAUUAUUGUCACUUGACCAUGAAGAGGGACCCCAAAGACCCAAGUGGUAAGGCCCACGCUCCUAGGUGCUGCCAUUGGAAGGCAGGUGCUGUGUAGGAGGCAGUGCCUUGGAGGAUGUCCUUAGGUCAUUGGGGAUGUCUCUAAAAGGGACCCCAAAAUUCUUUCUUUGCUUUGCUCCCUCUCCAGGAUGUGGGCAGUUUGUUGCCACUCACUCCUGCUGUGAAAUACUACCCUCUCCAGAGGCCCGAACACAAAGGCUACCUAAUCAUUUACUGCUAGAACUAUGAGGCAAGAUGCUGUUCUUGUCACUUGGGUCCAUAAUGGGUGGGUGGGGGCGGAGAUCUUCCCUCUGUGAGUCCUUCCUUUGCAUGUACCCAGAAGCACCACGCACCCCUUCUUAGGCCUGUUCAUUAUGCACCAGAGCCAUUGUGUACCCCACUUACUCAGAGGUCCCGCAUCUCCACAAGUCCUAUUCCCUUUGAUAAACCCUGGCUUAACACUUGGAGCGAGUUUCUCCAAAGCGGCAGAUGAUAGCUACAUUCUAGUUACCUGCAAAAGCUAACUAUACCCAUAGAGGUCUAAUGAUCUUUUUAUAUACUUAAUACUUAAAUUUUAUUUAAUUAUGUGUACGGAUGCCUUGCCUGUCUGUCUGUGCACCAUGUGCCUGCCUGGUGCCACAGAGGUCAGAAAAGGGCAUCCAAUUCCCUGGAGAGUUACAGACAGUUGUGAGCUGCCAUGUGGGUGCUGGGAAUUGAACCUGGGUCCUCUGGAAGAGUAACCAGUGGUCUGAACCACUGAGCCACUUCUCCAGCCCCAAUACCCCACCUUUUUAAAGAUUUAUUUAUUUUUAUUCUGAGUGUUUGCCUAUUAGCAUAUAUGUGUACCAUAUGCAUGCCCUGUAAGCACAGAAGCCAAAACAGGGCACUGGAUCCCCUUAACAAGGAGUGACAGAUGGUUCACUAUAAGCUCCUUGACAUGGGCACUGGGAAGUGACCUGAACUUGAUCCUCUCUAAGAGCAACAAGCCCUAUUAACUUCUGAGCCAUCUCUCCAGCCUCUACAUACAAAUUUUGGAGACAAACCCCGUGUGUUUGUGUGUGUGUGUGUGUGUGUGUGUGUGUGUGUGUGUGUGUGUGUGUGUGUGUUUAUGAGUGCAGGUUCCCCUGGAGGCCAGAAGAGGGCAUCAGAUCCCCUGAAGCUGGAGUUAUAGUUGGCUGUGAGCUGCACAAUGUGAGUGAUGGGAACUUCCAGUCUUCCAGUCCUCUACAAAAGCAGCAAGUGCUCUUAACUGCUGAACUAUGUUUUCACUCCCAAGGAUAGAAAAUUGUGUGUGUGUGUGUGUGUGUGUGUGUGUGUGUGAGAGAGAGAGAGAGAGAGAGAGGAGAGAGAGAGAGAGAGAGAGAGAGCCAACCAAAUGCAGUGGCACACUCCUAUCUCCCAUCUCUGGCCUGAUAUAGCUGAGCCAGGAGGAUCACAAAUUCCAGGGCAGCCUGGGCUAGAUAGUGACACCCAGUCUUUUUUUUUUUUUUUUUUUUUGGUUUUUUGAGACAGGGUUUCCCUGUGCCUUUGGAGGCUGUCCUGGAACUAGCUCUUGUAGACCAGGCUGGUCUCGAACUCACAGAGAUCCACCUGCCUCUGCCUCCCAAGUGCUGGGAUUAAAGGCGUGUGCCACCAACACCCGGCUGUGACACCCAGUCUUAAAGCAACAAUAGAGGAAUAGUUUCCCAGAAGAGAAGGACAUAAUUCUCCAUGUUAAAGGUGCUCACUGGGGUCACGCAGAAUGGAGGGAAAUGCCAAGGUGAUAUCAUGAAAUUCAGAGAGCCAGGGUAGUGGGGCAAGGGGACAGAUUCUAGAGCAGGAGUUCUCUAUCUUGGGUCACAACCCCCACAUGGUUGCAUAUCAAAAUCCUGCAUAUCACGUAUUUACAUUGCAAUUCAUGACAGUAGCAAAAUACAGUUAUGAUGCAGCAAUGAAAUAAUUUUAUGGUUGGGGUCAGCACAACAUGAGGAAGUGUAUCAAAGGGCUGCAGCAUUCGGAAGGUUGAGAACCACUGGGCUAAAGAGAAAAAGUCAAGGCCUGUCCAAAGGAAUAAGAAUGCAGGUGGCAUCAGACUCUCAACAGAAGACACUGACGAAAGAGACAGUGGGUACCCAACGUUCUGAGAGAGAAGCACUUUUAUCCUAGAAUUCUAUACUUAGUCAAAUAAAGGCUAAGCAUGGAAAAAAAAGAUAUUUUCAGAUUUGUAAGAACUCAAAAUUUUUGCCUCCCACACACCUUUUCCUAGGGCCAUAGUAAAAGACAUGAUUCAGGGAAAUAGAAGGCUAAGCCAAGAAAAAAAAAAAAAAAAAAAAAACAGGCACUCUAAAAAUCCAAGCAGGAAUCCAGAGGGGAAGGGUACUGCUGAUGACAAGCCUUACUGCCAGGACACCUGAGCCCCAGGUGCAGCGAGGAGCUGUCCAACUGGGAUCAAGAUGACAGCUGGUACCGAAGAGGUCUCCAGCAAGCAUGGGGGGGGGGGGAUGGUGCGAGAUCACCUGACGAUAUGUGUGGACAUUCAGGAGAAACUGUUCUGGAUAGCUAAUGGAUACACAUGGGAGUAUUAGCAACAGCUACUUCCAAAGUCAAGCUUUAAAAGGCAGACUGUUAGCUUCGGGAGGAAAGGUAAUUAAACGUAACAGUAGCUGGAGGAAGUGUAAUUGAACAACACCACUGUUCAGUAGUAGGCAUGAUGUGUACAGACUGAAGGUGACAUAAACCUUGACUCUGUUUAGACAGGUACUACACUCACAUGGAAAUAUACAGAAGGGGGAACUAAAAGCCCAGUUAUCAUGCAGGUAAUCAGUGGGUAGCAGCUAUGCUGGUCACUUCUGUCGCUAUGGUGGUAAAUGCCUGACAGCUAUUUAAGGAAGGACGGGUUUAUUCCAGAUCACAGUGUGGAGGUACAGACUGUCACAGAGAGGUAACCAUGAGAGAAGGAGCCUGGGGCUGCUGGUCAUGCCACAUCAUACGUUCAGCUCCCUUUCUCCUUUUUAUGUAGUCCCGGCCCCAAGCCUGGUUAAUGACACAUCCAGAUGUUUGUCUUCUAGGUGAUUCUAUACCCUGUCAAGCUGACGAUUAGCCCUAACAUCACACUGACCAUGUCCCUCGUGUCUGAAAACACAGAUGACCUUCGGGAAUUUUAUAAACAAAUCAGUGCAAAUGGGGAACUGCUUGGAAGUCUUCUGACGUUUGGGGGUGUCGGUCAGAACAGAGCUGGGUGGCUGAGCAUGGAGGACUGUGGGAAAAGUCACUUGCACAAGCUUAUCCCUCCUGGGCUACCACCCAACAGCUCCAAGCUCAGUUUGCACUCAGGUGAUCCUGAAAAGGGCCCUGAAGAGUGGAAGCCAGCUCUGUGAAACAGAAAGCUCCAUCCUGUUGGGAGGACGGGGAGAAAGGAAAGAGGGUCUUAGGGGGAGGGGACAGUGCAGAAG
rnacentral:lncRNA from 1 species